CCCUUAGAUGUUCUGGGCCGCACACGCGCUACACUGAUUCAUGCAACAAGUUUUGUCCUUGGCUGAUAGGCCUGGGUAAUCUUUGAACGUGAAUCGUGAUGGGGAUAGAUGAUUGCAAUUAUUCAUCUUCAACGAGGAAUUCCUAGUAAACGCAAGUCAUCAGCUUGCAUUGAUUACGUCCCUGCCCUUUGUACACACCGCCCGUCGCACCUACCGAUUGAAUGGUCCGGUGAAAUCUUCGGAUCUGAGAGAUGUCUGAUUAAUUUCGGACGCCUUUUGGAAAAGUUGCUUAAACCUUNCNAUUUAUNGGAAGGUGAANUCGUANCA
rnacentral:rRNA from 1 species